UCCGUGAGAAUCAAAUAAAAAACACAGGAGUGAAUCACUUAUGUGACGUACUGAAGGAGUCACACUGUAAACUGGAGAGAUUGAGUCUAAAUAACUGUGGCAUUACAGAUGUUUCUUCUUUAACUCAGUCUUUGACAAACACAAAAGCACUGCAGUUUCUAAAAGAGCUUGAUCUGAGACGCAAUAUGAUUAGAGACUCAAAGCAGCAGCUCAUUGAUGUGCUACGAGACUCAAACUGUGAACUGAGUGUAGAUAGAUAGAGAUCCAUCAA